rnacentral:rRNA from 1 species
UCCAUCCUACGGGACGCAGCAGUGGGGAAUAUUGGGCAAUGGAGGCAACUCUGACCCAGCAACGCCGCGUGAAUGAUGAAGGUCUUCGGAUUGUAAAGUUCUUUUCUAAGGGAAGAAGAAAGUGACGGUACCUUAGGAAUAAGCCUCGGCUAACUACGUGCCAGCAGCCGCGGUAAUACGUAGGAGGCAAGCGUUAUCCGGAUUUAUUGGUUUUAAAAGGUGCGCAGGCGGAAUGUCAAGUCAGCGGUAAAAUUUCGGGGCUCAACCCCGUCGUGCCGUUGAAACUGGCGUUCUUGAGUG